rnacentral:rRNA from 1 species
GACGUAGGGGGCCAGCGUUGUUCGGAAUUACUGGGUGUAAAGGGUUCGUAGGCGGUGUGGCAAGUCGGGAGUGAAAUCUCUGGGCUCAACUCAGAGACUGCUUCCGAAACUGCUGUGCUGGAGUGUGGGAGAGGCGCGUGGAAUUGCAGGUGUAGCGGUGAAAUGCGUAGAUAUGUGGAGGAAUACCGGUGGCGAAGGCGGCAUCCUGGACCAAUAACUACGUGAGGCGCGAAAAGCUAGGGGGAGCAAACGGGGGA